rnacentral:rRNA from 1 species
UACGUAGGGGGCGAGCGUUGUCCGGAAUCAUUGGGCGUAAAGCGCCGUGUAGGCGGCCCGGUAAGUCCGCUGUGAAAGUCCAGGGCUCAACCCCUGGGAUGCCGGUGGAUACUGUCGGGCUAGAGUCCGGAAGAGGAGUGUGGAAUUCCUGGUGUAGCGGUGAAAUGCGCAGAUAUCAGGAGGAACACCAAUGGCGAAGGCA